rnacentral:rRNA from 1 species
GACGAACGCUGGCGGCGUGCUUAACACAUGCAAGUCGAGCGGUAAGGCCCUUUCGGGGUACGACGAGCGGCGAACGGGUGAGUAACACGUGGGUGACCUCGCCCUCCAGCUCUGGGAGUAAGCCUGGGAAACUGGGUCGUAAUACCGGAUAUGACUCCAUGACGCAUGUUGUGGGGUGGAAAGCCUUGUGCGGCUGAGGAUGGGCCCGCGGCCUAUCAGCUUGUUGGUGGGGGUGAGG